GGAUGUGAGGGUGAUCUGGCUGCGACAUCUGUCACCCCAUUGAUCGCCAGGGUUGAUUCGGCUGAUCUGGCUGGCUAGGUGGGUGUCCCCUUCCUCCCUCACUGCUCCAUGUGCGUCCCUCCCGAAGCUGCGCGCUCGGACGAAGAGGACCACCUUCCCCGAAUAGAGGAGGACCGGUCUUCGGUCAAGGGUAUACAAGUAGCUGCGCUCCCCUGCUAGAACCUCCAAACAAGCUUUCAGUUUCCAUUUCUUAUCUCUACAACUACGAUAAGAAUGCUACCACAGUCCUAGAGCAAGAUCCUCAUGCAGUUAAGUGUGCUGCAGUGUCUGG
ensembl:misc_RNA 7SK 7SK RNA